rnacentral:sRNA from 1 species
UAGGCACCCCUAAAUUCCGGGGAAUGAAUUUAAAAACUAUCCGAUUAGGACACCCCGGGCCUAGCGAGGACCUAGGUGAGACGAGGCCUAGGCGCCCUUAAUAGGUGGUUAGUGCAAGCAACGCCGUGACGGCCAAUUGGUAGGCUGGAAUGCCGAGAUUGGCAGCCGGAAGGUUGGGGGAUUUAACUAGAAUUGGGUAGCUCUGGUGUUAUUCUUAGUGAGGAUCCCACUUAGGUAGGCUAGUUAAGGAACCCGGGUGGGCGGCGGCACUCUAGGGGGAAUGAUAACCCCUAAUGGUGGCCCAAGAGGACAGAGGCGGCGGCUGGUUAUAUAGGGUGUUAAAAUAUGUAUAUAGCUCAAGGUGUAAACUGCAGG